GAACACAAAGCAGUGCUUUAAAAUAGCUUCACAGCUAUACCUUUAAAAUAGUAUACAGGAGGAGUCAGCGUCUGAAGAAAAGAGUUCUAAAGACUCCCUACUUUGCAGCAGGACUUGGAUGUUUGGCAAAGUGAUACUUCUGGGUCAAGAAAAGCCCUUUACUGUCCCUGUGGAUCUGUCUCUGUUCAGAAUUGCCUCUUCUGAUCCUACCUCAUUUUCAC